rnacentral:lncRNA from 1 species
GAACCCGCCCAGAGAGCGGUGCGUGGCGCUGGGUGCGAGCAGGGUCUAGCCACCCCCACCCUCACCCCACCCCACCCCACCCUGCUUUUUUCAGGUUCAUCAAGGUUUGCGCAGUGGAUCCGCGGUAAGUGCGUGUCCCCACGCCGCGGGAAACGUGGGGCUCCUGAGACUGCGGAAAGAAUUGGGAGAAGGGGAGGGCUCGAAGACCCGGGCGAGGGUUCCCGGUGCGGCCCAGGUCCUUUAGAGCCCCGGGUGGGCAUCCAGUACCGCCUGCUGCCGAGGGCCCUAGAGGGGUUGGGGGAGGGGGCUGGUGUGUCCCCCACCCCCAGAUGCGCCCCAGGAUGGCGCGACCUCGGCUCCCUGGUGGAAAGUAGGGGGAGUGCUGGCUUGGGGGUCGCUUCCCCUCCUGCUCUAGUUUCUGAGGAUGUGAUGACCCCAAAGGUCAUUGGCGCUCCCAGAAUGCUGACGUCAGCUCAGCCGCUCCGAGUAAUCAGUAAUGCAGGGAGGCCACCCGCAGAAAGAACGCGACAGGGGUCGCUUUGGGGACACCAUAGGGCCUUUACUCCUUUUGAGGUGCGUGCUUUCGCAGGACUCCCUCCCCAGAGGAGGAGGCAUGAUCAGCCCACCCAAAGGAUCAUCUCUUAGGAAGCAGGCGUGCGCCCACGCAGGGAGAAGCAUCCUUCCUUUCAGCUGCUUGCCGGGUGGCUUUUCCAACCCGAGUUCCAGCAGCUUGCACAAAAUCCUUACAGCUUGGGUGGUUCCCUGGCUCAUAGGGGUGGGUUUAUAUUCUUUCUCCUUCUCCUCUGCUCUCUGGUCCAGAAUGAAGCCAGCCUGGAAGAUCCCCAGUCUCGAGACAGAGCCUGACAGGGGCAGAUGCACUGGAAGGACCCUGUCUGGGUUUAGCAACCAAGCAGCCAUCCUGGCCCCACAGGUGUGGGACUUCUGGGUCUUCUCCUGGCUGGCUUCUUGCUAGAGGAUUUCAAGAGACCCAGCAAGACUGUAUUGUCCCACUGAAUGCUCAAGAUAUUGGUUAGAAGUAGAAAAGGGGAGGGGGUAGUAUUUAGCCUCUGUCCCCACUAAAAAUUAUUCCCAAUUGUCAUUUGUGUCAUCUGUUUAGCUUACAGUUUUAAUCCUUGUCAAAAUGAUCAUUUGCCAGGGUGCAUAAAACACCCUAUUUGAUGAGAACUGGUUUUAAAGGAAAAUGGGGCCAUCAGAAGGAAGCCGGUUGGUGUGAAGAGACGUCUGGGAAGAGCCCCUGGCGAGGGCCCUCAUUCCACUGGGUGACCCAGAAGGAGAAAACCGCGAUGGCGCUUCUCAUUUGAAAUGUUUUCUUUAUGGACAGUGUUUAGCAAUUGUUAUAAUGUGUACUUUUGUUGAUUGAUCUGUAUACAUAUGUAAAAUAAUUUGUUCUCUGAGUUAAUUUUGUUGGAACAAAGACUUUAGUGCUUCCUACAUUAAAACAUUUUACUGUAUUGCCUGCAUUUUAA